rnacentral:rRNA from 2 species
UGCAGUCGAGCGGACUAAUGGGAGCUUGCUCCCGUUAGUUAGCGGCGGACGGGUGAGUAACACGUGGGCAACCUACCUGUAAGACUGGGAUAACUUCGGGAAACCGGAGCUAAUACCGGAUGACAUAAAGGAACUCCUGUUCCUUUAUUGAAAGAUGGCUUUUACCUAUCACUUACAGAUGGGCCCGCGGCGCAUUACCUAGUUGGUGAGGUAACGGCUCACCAAGGCAACAAUGCGUACCCAACCUGAAAGGGUGAUCGGCCACACUGGGACUGAAACACGGCCCAAACUCCUACGGGAGGCAGCAGUAGGGAAUCUUCCGCAAUGGACAAAAGUCUGACGGAGCAACGCCGCGUGAGCGAUGAAGGCCUUCGGGUCGUAAAGCUCUGUUGUUAGGGAAAAAUAAGUGCUAGUUAAAUAAGCUGGCACCUUGACGGUACCUAACCAAAAAGCCACGGCUAACUACGUGCCACCAGCCGCGGUAAUACGUAGGUGGCAAGCGUUGUCCGGAAUUAUUGGGCGUAAAGCGCGCGCAGGCGGUUUCUUAAUUCUGAUGUGAAAGCCCCCGGCUCAACCGGGAAGGGUCAUUGGAAACUGGGAAACUUGAUUGCAAAAAAGGAAAGUGAAAUUCCAAGUGUACCGGUGAAAUGCGUAAAGAUUUGAAGGACCACCAGUGGCGAAGGCGACUUUCUGGUCUGUAACUGACGCUGAGGCGCGAAAGCGUGGGGGAGCAAACAGGAUUAAAUACCCUUGUUAGUCCACGCUGUAAACGAUGAGUGCUAAUUGUAAAAGGGUUUCCGCCCUUUGUGCUGAUGU